rnacentral:rRNA from 1 species
GACAGAGGGUGCAAACGUUGUUCGGAAUUACUGGGCGUAAAGGGCUCGUAGGCGGCCAACUAAGUCGGACGUGAAAUCCCCAGGCUCAACCUGGGAACUGCGUCCGAUACUGGAUGGCUUGAAUUCGGGAGAGGGAUGCAGAAUUCCAGGUGUAGCGGUGAAAUGCGCAGAUAUCAGGAGGAACACCGGUGGCGAAGGCGGAUCUCUGGGCCGUAACUGACGCUGAGGCGCGAAAGCUGGGGUAGCAAACAGG